rnacentral:lncRNA from 1 species
AAAGAGUUGCAGCGCCGGGGGAAGUUGGGAACAAAGGUAGGGGGCUGGGAGCUUCAGGGAGACGCGCUACAAGAACCCCAAAGCAGAAAGUGCCUUUGUCUCCUGGGCUGCCCAAACUUGCGGAAAGCCGGGUGGUCCUACCUCACCCGCCGCCCACCUGGGCCUGAUCGGCCGCGCUGGGACGAUGCCCUCACCGCGCAUCCAGCUGAGAGGGAAACAGGUCGGACCUGGGCAGCGCCCGAGGGAAAGCCUGGGUAGCCAGCGGCCGGCAUGUAAAGGCCCCGCCUCCUCAAAGGAAAGGCUGCUGGUAAGCAUCCCUUCGUGCCUGCGAGCCUCUCUGCCAGAUGUGAAUUCUGCUGUGUCCACACCUCCAUUCCAGGAGGGCAGUUAGUGUGUCAGCCCUACAAAUGUGAUCUCUUACCCUUUAAACUAGCCAUGGGAACACCUGGAAAAUGCCAGCAUCGUCCUCUCAAAAUCCAAGGAUUUGGAAACUAAUAUUUAAAGGGGGGCGGGGGUUUAAAUGUGCUGCUAACACUGCUUUUAAAGGUAGACUUAUGUGAGUCCCCACAACAACCAUGUGAGGCAGGUAUUGUAACCACCCUCAAUCUAGCAAGGAAAUUGAAUUCCAGAAAAAUUACAUAACUUAACCAAGAGCUAAAUAACAGUGUGUGGGGGGGGGGGGGGCCUGAGAUCCAACUAAUUUAGCCCCAGUUUUGACCUCUUAAAGACAAGGCCCUCUUCAUUCUCAGGUUUAACACCCACUCCAGAAUAGCCAUCAACUACUAGGUACAGCACUUCCUCAAGGACCACUCUAGAGGCUUCAGUAGUAAGAGCGGGCAAGUAGUGCUUCAGGAAACCUGGCUGUGGACUCAGCUCUCUCUGAAAAGGGGGUUAUUGAAUUUAGUUGGGAUAGUCUCUUGCUGCUAAUAUUCUCUGGGUGAACAGCUGAGUCCUAGUAAGGUAGUCUUUUAGAGGAUGGGGAGAAAAUAAUUGAGAUCUUUCACUCUUAAUAUUGUGUUCCAACUAGCUGGGACCAAUUAGAAAUCAAACCUGUCCAAUAAUCUACUUCCUAAAAUAGUCCCAAGUCUGGACCUCUCUAUUAAUAUAACCUUGGAUCGAGGACCUCUUUGUCUCUGUCUCCUCCCCCCCCCCCCUUUAGGGACGUGUUGAGAAAGUGUACAGGUGGCUGAACAUAUAAACUGAAGGGAAAAAUUAAAAUACCAUUUUAAAACCUUAAAAAGUGGGUGUUAGAAACAUAUUGCAACCUAAAGUAGGCAGCAUAAGAUACAAUCCUAGAACAAAUACUGUCUACCAAAGGAAUUCUGUGAGGCCAGAUUAUUCUUUUAGAAAAAGACAGAACAUAGUUUUUAUUGAGGGUGACUCCUUUAAUAGAGACCUGACUCUGGUGUUAACCUGUCAUCCCCUGGCCUUAUUGCUUGGUGGGACAAUCAGGUCACUUUAGGGUGAUGUCAUGGGAUGAACUGUCUGCUAGGCUCUGUGUUCCUGGAGUCAGUAAUGCCUAUGGAGGAUUAGGACUAGGACUGGAGACAGUCGGACACUUUUUAGGAGGUCUGGAACGAGACGUUGUAAAAGUUGACAGUUUAUUGUGCCUUCAGCCUUGAGUGGAGAUGAAGUAAUUGUUGCCCGUUUUUAGAUAUUCUCUGAAUGAUUAGCAUCCUUUCCUGUAGCGUUAAGUAGGUUUCUGACCCCAAGUAAAGGAGCCAGAUUUUAAAAAUGAAGGCAGAGGUGCCAGGCUUUCCUCCUGCUUUUGGUUUCCUUGUGUCAGCCCAAGUGAGAGAUAAGUACUUUUUAGCAGAAACUGUCUUUUAGGUGCCUGUUAUAACUUUAUGAAAUUAUUUAUUUUAACAUCUAGAAUGGGAAAGAUUUGAGCCAUCUGAGAAAUUUUAUGUCAGAGUAUAGGUCAAGUAUCUUGGCCUAUAAUAAUAGCUUAGAUUUUAGAGUCAGGAGAUCUUGGUUUUGGUUGGGGUUUUUUUGUUUGUUUGGUUGGUUGGUUGGUUGGUUUUUGUUUUGUUUUGUUUUCUGUCUUCACUACUUACUAGCCAAUUUUGGAGCCUUUUUAACCUCACUUUCCUUAUAUAAGAAAAGAAGUAAUAAUAUUGUGUACAAAAAGCUUACAACUGUGUUACAUUGUAACAUUUAGAAACAACCACAUUAGUCAGAAUUCUCCAGAAAAAUAGACCAAUCAGGAUCUACAAAAAGAUAUAGAAGAAAGUAUGUUAUAAGGAACUGGCUUGAGAUGAUAAAGACAUAGAAGCCUUAUGCAAAGCAGUCAGGAGCGCACGUGGUAUAUAGGUCCAGUCCAAAUCUAAAGGCCUAAUGACCAGAAGAGCUGUUACUCCCUCAGAAUCUGAACGACAGCUGCACCAGUGUUGACACAAUUGUUGAUAUGGAUGUCCCAGCUUAAACAGAUUUUUCUUCCUCUACCUUUGAGGGUUUGUUUUGUUUUGUUUUGUUUUGUUUUCAGUUCAAUCAUGAUACCACCCACACUGAAGAAAGCAAUUUUCCUUACACAGUCUACCAAUUCAAAAAAUAAUCUUUUCUAUAAACAUCCUUAUAGACACAUUCAGAAAUACUAUUUUACUAUCUGUCCAGUCCUUCAUCAACCCAGUGAAGUUGAUGUAUUAAAUUAACCAUUCAAGAAAUUUAAUGUAAUUCUAAAAAUGAAAAAUGUUUCUCUCCUAUGAAACUAUUGCAUCUGGAUUUAACUGAGUUUCACUAUAUACAUGUAUUAAGACAUCAUGUGAUAUACUAUAAAUACAGAUAUUUUGUCAACUACACCUUAAAUUUUAAAAUACUCCAUCUUUAUGUCUUUAAUAAGGAAGUAGAUUGUUGAGUUAACAUUUUGAGUUAAGAACCAGUGAUGAGAAUAUAAAGUGGAUAGAGGCCUCCCCACUAGUAUCUGCUAAUUUGACUAGGAGCCUUUAAAUGAGAGAGAACUGAAUGAAUUAUAUGUAAUUCUUCAUUGUCCUGCCUCAGCUAGCCAACCUAUGACAGCAAUCCCCAUGUCCCUAACUCUUAAAAUCAUUUAUUGAGUGCUGUCUUACUGUGUUCAGGGAACUGUGUGGAUGUUGUAAAAUAAAUAAAUAAAUGGUACUUAUAAUCAAAAGGCAAAAUCAUCAUGUAUAUGAGACAGUAGAGUAAUACAAAGUACCAGGUUAGGUCAGUUUUUAAUGUUAAAACACACACACACACACACACACACACACACACACACACACACACACAAUGUUCCUUCUAGAAGACACAGAAGCUUAGUUGGCAGACAAAGGACCUAAAAUUUAUUCCUAAAUAUUACAGCAAAUAGCUGUGAAUUUUAGAAGUUCACUUAAGUUCUUUUUCUGCCCUAAGCUUCCCAUUGUUAAGGGUAAAUAAUGCUAACUGUCCUACUUUACAAUAGUAAAGAGUGAUUGUGAGCUUGGAAUUAAUAAUAGACUGGAUUUUUAAAGAUAUUACUAUUAUUUUAACUCUAAAAAUAACUUCAAGUGGUAAAGAGGACUUAAAAUAGAAAUCACAUCUUUAACUAGGGUUACUAACUUCAGCCAAAGCCGAAGUACCAAGCAGCGUUUUUUGGGUGACAAGUGACAGGGUAGCAGUGUUCCCUUGCCCUUGCCUCUGAAAAUGGAAAUGGCUAUGAUAAUUAAAGAUUGCUACAAUAAAAUGUUCCCUUCUCAACUUAUUUUUAACUUUGAAUAAACCAUUC